GACGAACGCUGGCGGCGUGCUUAACACAUGCAAGUCGAACGGAGCGAAUGAAAGCUUGCUUUUAUGAGCUUAGUGGCAAACGGGUGAGUAACACGUAGACAACCUGCCGACAGGAUGGGGACAACAUUCCGAAAGGAAUGCUAAUACCGAAUGAAGCGGAGGAGAGGCAUCUCUCUUCCGUGAAAGAUGGCCUCUGAACAUGCUAUCACCUGUCGAUGGGUCUGCGUCUGAUUAGCUGGUUGGUGAGGUAACGGCUCACCAAGGCGACGAUCAGUAGCCGGUCUGAGAGGAUGAACGGCCACAUUGGGACUGAGACACGGCCCAGACUCCUACGGGAGGCAGCAGUGGGGAAUCUUCCGCAAUGGGCGCAAGCCUGACGGAGCAACGCCGCGUGAGUGAAGAAGGUCUUCGGAUCGUAAAGCUCUGUUGACGGGGACGAACGUGCGAAGGGUGAAUAAUCCUUUGCAAUGACGGUACCUGUCGAGGAAGCCAC
rnacentral:rRNA from 1 species